AUUGAACGCUGGCGGCAGGCCUAACACAUGCAAGUCGAACGAGUGGCGGACGGGUGAGUAAUGUCUGGGAAACUGCCUGUUGGAGGGGGAUAAAUACUGGAAACGGUCGAUAAUACCGCAUACCAUCAGUUGUCCCGAGAUGGGAGUAGCGAGGUGGUGGGGUAACGGCUCACCAAGGCGACGACCCGUAGCUGGUCUGAGGGGAUGACCAGCAACACUGGAACGGAGACACGGUCCAGAAUCCUACGGGAGGCAGCAGUGGGGAAGAUUGCACAAUGGGCGCAAGCCUGAUGCAGCCAUGCCGCGUGUAUGAAGAAGGUCUUCGGAUUGUAAAGCACUUUAAGUUGGGAGGCGUUACCAACAGAAUAAGCACCGGCUAACUUCGUGCCAGCAGCCGCGGUAAUAC
rnacentral:rRNA from 1 species